rnacentral:rRNA from 1 species
AUGGGCGCAAGCCUGAUCCAGCAAUGCCGCGUGCAGGAAGAAGGCCUUCGGGUUGUAAACUGCUUUUGUCAGGGAAGAAAUCCUCUGGGUUAAUACCUCGGGGGGAUGACGGUACCUGAAGAAUAAGCACCGGCUAACUACGUGCCAGCAGCCGCGGUAAUACGUAGGGUGCGAGCGUUAAUCGGAAUUACUGGGCGUAAAGCGUGCGCAGGCGGUUGUGCAAGACAGGUGUGAAAUCCCCGGGCUUAACCUGGGAACUGCACUUGUGACUGCACGGCUAGAGUACGGUAGAGGGGGAUGGAAUUCCGCGUGUAGCAGUGAAAUGCGUAGAUAUGCGGAGGAACACCGAUGGCGAAGGCAAUCCCCUGGACCUGUACUGACGCUCAUGCACGAAAGCGUGGGGAGCAAACAGGAUUAGAUACCCUGGUAGUCCACGCCCUAAACGAUGUCAACUGGUUGUUGGACGGCUUGCUGUUCAGUAACGAAGCUAACGCGUGAAGUUGACCGCCUGGG